rnacentral:sRNA from 1 species
UUGACAGCUUUGGAAACUGAAGGACUCUAAUUAUCCAGAGAACAGGUACAAUAUGGCCAGUGGCAGUAGAAAUCAUUUCAUACUGCCCUGCCAAUGUGCCUUAGAUACAUUUCUUAGGAAUCUCAUGGGUAUAAAGGUUUUAAAUCUUCCCAUUCAAGCUUUUGUGAGA